rnacentral:rRNA from 1 species
CCUGAACGCUGGCGGCGUGGCUAAGACAUGCAAGUCGAACGGGACCCGCAAGGGUUCAGUGGCGCACGGGUGAGUAAUGAAUCGCUAAUGUGCCCCGGACUCUGGGAGUAGCUACCCGAAACGGGUAAGGGUAAUACCAGAUGAGACCACGGAGAGGCAUCUCUCUGUGCUCAAAGGAGCAAUCCGGUCUGGGAGCAGGCGAUUUCGUAUCAGCUAGUUGGUGAGGUAACGGCUCACCAAGGCGACGACGCGUAGCUGGUCUGAGAGGACGGGCCAGCCACAUUGGGACUGAGACACUGCCCAGACUCCUACGGGGGCGUGCAGUAACGAAUCUUCCGCAAUGCACGAAAGUGUGACGGAGCGACGCCGCGUGUAGGACGAAGUCCUC